rnacentral:snRNA from 1 species
AUCGCUUCUCGGCCUUUUGGCUAAGAUCAAAGUGUAGUAUCUGUUCUUAUCAGCAUAUUAUAUCGAUCUUGAGAAAGCUUUGUUUGCGCUCUUAUUGUUAUUUUAACUAGAUCUAGACUUUAA